rnacentral:lncRNA from 1 species
CUCGUCUCAGCCUCGCUCUCAAUGUCCCCUGCCACUGUCUCCAUCACGGUGCUCCGUGCCUCAAACUCUCCUACAGCGUCCCCUGUCCCAGUCUCUUCCAUAAUGUCCCCUCCCUCCAUCUCCCUCUCAACUUUCUCAUGGUUAUCUCCCUCGAUCUCAAAUACUCCAUCAACUCCAAAUGAAUGUUCUCUGUUGAGAUGUUGACUCGGUCUCAUCCAAUUUGUUAUAGUAUCGACCUUCCUAUUUAUCUCUUCAUAUUUAUCGGAUAACCUCUCCACGUGGUGCAACAAUUGUUUCAACAUAUCGCCGUAAUCCCUA